ACAUUUUACCGGAAGUCAUGCGCGCGCAAGGGAUUAUGGGAAACAGUAAAGUCGCGAAUUCCUUGGAUGUGCAAGAAAAUCUUUUAUGUAUCAGAUUGUACAGUUCCUAGUAAUGAGAAAUGGCGCAGUUGGUGCAGUGCAGAAACUAGUUUACUCAGAAUGUUUGUUCCAACUGACGGAUGAUAUUGUCAGAUAAGAGCACAUUGGCAUGUUGCAG